CCCUUAGAUGUUCUGGGCCGCACGCGCGCUACACUGAUGCAUUCAACGAGUUUCUUCCUGGUCCGAGAGGAAUGGGUAACCUUUUGAAAGUGCAUCGUGAUAGGGAUAGACUAUUGCAAUUAUUGGUCUUCAACGAGGAAUUCCUAGUAGACGUAGUUCAUCAGACUGCAUCGAUUGCGUCUCUGCCCUUUGUACACACCGCCCGUCGCUCCUACCGAUUGAAUGCUCAGGUGAGCCAUUCGGACUUUCAUCAUGCUGGUUUCCAGUUUUGAUGAAGGAAAGUCUUGCGAACCUUAUCAUUUAGAGGAAGGAGAAGUCGUAACA
rnacentral:rRNA from 1 species